UCAUCACCAUCUCCAUCAGCGCCUGGUCCGCCAAAAUCUGGACCAACAAAGCAGAUCAAUUUAUCUUGCGCAUUGCGAAUUUGUUGCUCUUCGUUUGCGUAGCUAGCUAGGAUCACGACUUACCCCUUCGUAGCUGGUGAAACUCAUGUCGAUCAUGUUGACGGGGCCCUUGAUUUUGAGGAUGACGCCGAAACGGGCGGCGUCGGCGAGCGGCAUGUCGGGGUACCUGGCGGCGCCCAUGGUGCCGACGCACUUGCCGAGCAACCCCAGGAACGUUAGGAGUACGGCAGGCACGAUGACGGCGCCGGACAUGGCCCCGAAUUAAGUUGAGCCGCAUCCCAUGGUCCCGACCCGAAAUAGAAGCCUAGAAGAGUAGAAGGGCACGGCUAGGGCGUCCAGCGGGUAAGCCAGCGCGUCCAUGACGGUCCUCGCCAUCCCUCGGGAGCGCCAGGCCCAGCAGGAGGCUCGCCCUCAUCCCGUCGAACCCGGCCCUCCGCGGGAAGUUGCGAUGCCGUGGCCACGCACGAGGAACCGGCCGGUGCCCGUAGCCGUGAGGCCCAGCUCGCUGGCAAUGCGCGAGACGUCAACGGAGGAGGUGUCGGCCUGUCGGCCAGGGUGAGCAUGACGGGCGUGUGCAUCAUGCUGUCGUACAUGCCCCCCGAGAGACGAAAGCGGCCAGGAAGCGGCAGCUGGCCACGGUGCAGCGACGCUUGUCGUUCCAGAGCGCGGCCAGGCCGACGUAGAACAUGUACUGUACAAAUCCACGCCAUUUGUUUUGGGACGGAGGGAGUAGAAUAUGCGCGCCUCGGAGACGCACCACUCGUACGUGUCCUCCACUUUCCCGACGUCCACGUGCACGAUCACCUCGUGCAAGCCCAGGGUCCCCACCAUGAUCCCUCGCCUGCAAAUGAAAUGAACCAAACAAUUAUUAGGAGAUUAGGAAUUAGUAAUCGUCGGAAUUUACGCAAGCGUAUGCGUGCAUGUUGGCCAGGAGUGGGGACGAGGAUCUGGGAUAUGGCGCUGGGCUGGUUGUGGCAGCGAAGGGAGAUGCGGAUGAACUUGCCGAAGGCGAUGGCGACGACGGCCUGGAGGACGAUGAGGAAGAGCGUGUCCAGAGGGACACGUUCUGGAGCUCGGGGUCCAAGUCGCAGCAAUUGGUUCCGGCUUGCCGGCCGGUUCGUGCCCGUGGACGUCAACGUCGGCGGCGGAGGAUUAGGCUGCCGGAAUCCGGCAAGGAAAAUGUCCAGAAUUGGUCAAGCUCUUUGGUUGUUCAAUUCGUGAGGCUGGUGAUUCGUUUGGCUCUGGACGGACGGGACGGCAUGUCAUUGAAGCCAACUUCUCUAAAAUGACUAUCUGGCUUUAUUUAUUCCAAUGGAUGUUCCAAAACCGAAAAGAAUUUUUUUGAUAGAAGUACAACAGAUAAAAAAACUAAAACGAAGAUUUCGGAUAAACCGAAAGUUACAUUAAAAAAAAAAUCUUUGAAGUCAACUUCUCUACUUGCGCAAUUCGUAUCUUGAUAUUUCUCCAAAUAUGUGGUGACAAAACAGUAAAAGACCAAACCUGCAUAAGCUGAACUAAACUCGUAGGUUUUACUAAACCGCAUGCGCCGUCCACCCCAGCCGUUGAUAACCUAAUAUUGUUGAACGCGUGAUGGCCGGACACACCCCUCGCAAGACAGGUUGUCGAACCAUUGAAUCAUCGCCAAACCGAUGAGAAAGAUGACCAAAAUCACGAAAUUACGAGCCAUGAGAUCCCAAAGCUCCAUGAAGUAGACCAUGAUAACCACGCCAGAACGGGGGUUGGAGCUGGGAGACCAUUAAUCCGUACAUCGUCGCCUCCACCGUAAGGCCGCCGCCGCCAAGGACACAGAAAGCCUUACAAAGAAGAUACUAAAACGAUACCAGAUGUUGAUCCGUGGUUCCCCUCACCUCCUACUAUCCAAUAGGCUAUCAAAGACGAGGAGAACUCUUGCAAGAUUCGGUAGAGCUCUUCGGUCGUCUUCGGAGGGUUGCGACUUAGAGCCCGAUUUACCUCUCCUUGGAGAAGGCCUUGCAUGAAGGUGUCGAUCACGGUUGUUGACGGAGGGUUGGCAAUUUGGCUUCGUACCUUCGCAAAGCGAUGGAAGAAGCUUCGGAGAGAUUCACCCAGCUUUUGUUUCACGGCGUAAAGCUCGUGAGCCUGCAUGGGUUCCUUGAAAUUUCCUUGGAAGUUGGCGAUGAAGACCUCUUGCAAGCAUUCCCACGAGUGUGCGGAGUUCUUACGCAGCUUAUAAAACCAAGUAUGCGCCAUCCCGGUGAGCGCGAGCGGAAACAGAUUGCACAUCUCGGUAGGACCUCCUCCGGCCGCUCGUUGGCGGUGGAGUAAACGUCCAGGAAUUGAAGAGGAUUUUACUCUCCGUCGUACGGCCGUAUCGUUGGCGGCUUGAUCCUUGGUGGGAAGACCGCGUCUUGGAUCUCUCGAGUGAGUGGGUUGCAAGUUUGUCGACCCUUCCGGUUUUUUUAUGACGGGAUCCUCCUUCGUCGGAGUCAGUUCCGUCACUAGAGGGGUCGCUUGGAGAACGAUCUCGACAUCUUCUUGGUAGGCCGGACCGUCGGCGAGAGUUUCUUUCGCUGCCUGCGGGGGAUCCGGACUCUACCAUUUGCUCGUUUUCACGUACGCUGGGAUCUCGUUCUCCGCGGGGUGCAGUUUGAGGCGGUGCUUGGUGGCCACCUUGCCCGGCCCCUACGGGGGGAGCAAGGGGCGCUUGUUGGGCGCUCGCAAAGCGAGGCGAUUUGGAGCGUGUGCGACUUGGAGAGCGCCAUGUGGCGGAAGUCACCAAUACGGGUGGUACCAAGGAGCUCCAUGGGCGAUUGCGGCGAGCGCCAGUGGAGGUAAUCCCGGGUUGGAGGGGUCGUAGGCCGGGACUCCUGAUUUUUUGGCGCGGAUUUGACACCACAUUUUUUUCCUCUUGUAGGUUCCGAAGGUAAGGUCACCACUGGCGGUACGAAAGGUGGCAUGAAGCCCAUCGAAUGAGGCAUGCCAAGUUUCGUAUCCCUUGCGGGGUCGGCAACUUUGGGUAGCUCACCGAUUUUUGCUACCACGUUAGUGAGUGUCGAGGGACCGCCUACGACAGUUUCGGGCAUCUCUGUACCUUCGGGAACGGUCGGGAGCGGAGGUGCGACUAUGGCUUAUGUCCUAGCGACCAUGCUUGCGACAACGUCAGGGUUGGUGAUGAUUCCUUCUUCCUCGAGAGCCCCAGAGGUGUUUGAUUUCUUUGUUUGUAACCGUGUAGACUUUGCGGCAAGUUGUGCACUCGAUGAAGUAGGCAUCGUUGGUGCCAUUGAAUCUUCAAUUGCGGCGAGGGUUCACCACGGUCGGCGCCAUUGUUGUUGUUCUAGAAAACAACAAGAGUAAGGAGUGCCAAGUCUGUAUAGCACAAGUGCGUAAAAGUAGGGCGUGUACGCCGGCCUUAUAGCGAGGGUCACCGUACACUUGGACAAGUUGACACGUCGAUAUUUUUUGAACAAGUUCGGUCGACCCUGCAGGUACGACCUAGUCCUAUGUUAGGAGAGGCUUCAAGGAAAUCGUUACCCAAAGUGUUUGGGUUGAUCGUGGCUUCCCAAAUCACUUAGUGAGAGAUGAAAAGGGGCCGUCUCGGACUUGUGCUGAACCAGGCUUUCCAAGUAGCGAGGUUAGGUUACCCUUAGGACUCUAACCCGAUUCCCUUUUGUUCGACUUGGGGCCGAACGAGGCUUCCCGAAAUCUCGAAACUAAAGCUCCUCAAAGAGGCUCUCUAGCCCUCUCCCCUUGAGUUUAUUCAAGUUGAGUGUGAAUGGUACAUGCCCCACGAGGGGUAUUUAUAGCCUAUGGGUACAUGAUAAAAGACCAUAUCUACACUUGCGGGACAGAGAAAAGUGGAAGUGUGUAAAAGGAGCUCCUUGGUUCAUAGCUUCAGUGUGCAUCAAGUGGGAAAAAGUGACAAUGGUCCAUGGUCCACCGUGGACCAAAAGCCUCAUCACUGCACCUUUUGCCUUUUUGCAUCUAGCCCCCUCUCUAGCUUUCUUGGCCUCUUGUCAAGCCCUUUUAUACAUUUUGACCAUGGCAUGGGAAACUUGACUUGUUAACUUCCUUUGACUGGCGGUUAGUUGGCUUGACCGUUGUUGGUAUGUUGACCAAUCGUGAGAAUUGUUGACUUAGUCGUUGCCACGUAAGACUUAAUGCCCGGCCUAUAUAAGGGUUAUUUUAUUAUAACAAUUUGAAAUAGUAAUGGUAUUGGAAAUGAAAGGUACAACACAACAAUAAAAUUUACAAAUGAUACCAUUGGAUUGAUGCACAUAUGAAGUAAAAUUUAUAAAUAGUGUAUCAGUGGGAUGUGACUCAACAAGGAGACGGGGGAUAGGUGGCUUUGCUGCUGCAUGCUGAGGAGAUUUGAUAGCGGAGUAUUAAUGUGAGGGUGGGGACCACCCCAAAAAGUUGUGCUAGCUAAAAAUCUGAAUACAAAUCAAUACCGAAAGAAUACUAUAAAGGCAUCAAAAUGGAUCACGAGGCCAUCCGACCGUGCAUGCAUUGCCGGUAGGGGACGGAGCCGCUGAAGAAGACUAUCGCAUCUCGUCCGUGCUCGGCCCACGCCGGCCGGACCAUCAUACGACGAGGCCAACCCAUCUUAUGGGCUCCUGGCCUGCCGCAGCUUCAGACCCAGUCAUGAAAGACAGUGAAACCCUAGCCGCCGGAGAAAAAUCAUGUUUCCAUCUUCGUCGACUACGUGGGAAUCUCAAUGCAUGGAUGAACGGUGGAAUUGGCGCCGAUAGGUCACGGAGCUGUUAGAAUCGUCGCUUAGAGACGAGAGCUUUUACUUCCCUUCCUUUCACAAACCAAAAUGUGCCGCCGUAGUUCGGGCUCGAACUCGACCGACAUGGCCUCCCAGCUAGGGCCACCACAGUUGCCGCCGCCGGCAAAAUACCCUCCACCGGCUGCCUCCACGAUUACUGCUAUCGGCGACGACCUCCUCCUCGAGAUCUUCCUCCGCCUCCCAUCCCUCCCGAGCCUCGUCCGCGCGGCGUUCGCCUGCCGCACCUUUCUCGACGCUGUCCGUUCGUCCCGUACCUUUCGUCGCCGCUUCCGCACACUCCACCCGCCCCAACUCCUUGGUUUCUUCAUCAGCCCCUGCCGCUCAGGCUCGGCCAUCCCUCCCUUUGUCCCCCUCUGCAGCCGAUCUGACCCGGACCUCGCUGCCGUCGUCCGUGGCUCCGAUUUCUUCCUCACCCGCCUCCCAGUAGACAACGAAGAUUCCUCUCCCGGGUGGUACUUUGAGGGUUGCAACGAUGGCUACCUCCUCCUCGCCAACCAGAGCACCAAACAGAUCGCGGUCUACAACCCCCUCGCACAGGCAUUGAAUCUCUUGCCCCAGGCGCCCGAUGAGAUCUUCCAUAACUACGCUGAUUUCCACAUCGUCUUCCCCAACGAGGACCAGAGGUCUUUCCGUAUGAUUUGUGUCCAACAGCAGCUGCAGGCACAGGUGUGCGCCACUGUCUUCUCACCGGACACCAGGGAGUGGCAGUGUUUUCCGUGGGUGGGGACCCCCACGUCGCUACCUGGGUAUGAUGGAGACAACGGCCUCAAUUUUUACCCUGAUACUGUGGUGAAUGAAUUCUUUUAUUGGAAACAUACUAGUCAAGCCUAUGUACUCGUGCUCAACACUGUGACGCUGCAAUUCUCUCGAAUGGAUUUGCCGCAGAACUUAAAAAAGAUAGACUAUACACUAUUUAGUCUUGGUCAGAACAGGGAUGGAGAACUCUGCAUGGCUUGUGCAGAUGACUCUGAUGCCAAGCAAGGAGCGCUUAUUGUUUGGUUUUGGAGAGCCGAUGAUGAUGGUGUUGAGAAAUGGAUUCUGGAUGAGGUCUGUCCACUUGAUACAUUUAUUGAUGGCUCUAUGUGUUCAACAGAGGCUCAUGUCACGGUGCAGCUUGUGGCGAUUAUCGAUGGCUUUGUCUACCUAUCUACUUAGUAUUCGCAUACUGAGUGCCUCCUAUCCUUCUGCCUGGAAACAGCAGAGUGGAAGUAGCUCGUUGACGAUACAUAUGCCCGUCAUAUCCAUCCCUACAUCAUGGCGUGGCCUCCUUCUUUGGUAUCCAACAAGGAGGAUUCACAAUCCAAAGUUACCGGAGGCAGUCUUGCGAAUGAUCGUCCUGUGGGCACACAAGGAACCCCUUCUGUUAUUUUCACAAACCAAACUGGCACCACUUAAUAUGCAGAACUGACAACUUCGAGCAAUAAGUGCCAACUUUAAUAGCUACAAGAAAAGUGCAGGAAGAAGAGCAAAUGACAAAUGUGCAAGGGGAAGUUGUUGAGAGCUUGUUGCCUAUAGCCACUUCUUCGCCGGUUGAACUAGCCUCUUUUGAAUGAUUAUGGUGUAUUUCUUUUGAUGAGUUGAGCCUUUGGUGGUCAAGAGGGCAUGUGCAAGGUUUGUAUACUUUUAUGAGUUUUAGAGCUGUUCUACGGUACCUAAGAAUUAAUUUGGACCGUUUAUUUGCUUUGAUAAAGGGUUUUCGUUGAUACUC